AGAGAAAUAGUUUAAGCAGAAUUUAGGCUUUGGGAGCUUAUGGUGUCUAAUAUAUUUAGACUUUCUCUA
rnacentral:tRNA from 1 species